AUUGAACGCUGGCGGCAGGCCUAACACAUGCAAGUCGAGCGAGCGGCGGACGGGUGAGUAAUGUAUGGGGACUGCCCGAUCGAGGGGGAUAACUCCUGGAAACGGUAGCUAAUACCGCAUACUAUCGGAUAACCCAUAUGGGAUUAGCUAGUUGGUGGGGUAAUGGCUCACCAAGGCGACGAUCGCUAGCUGGGCUGAGAGGAUGAUCAGCCACACUGGGACUGAGACACGGCCCAGACGCCUACGGAGGCAGCAGGGGGGAAUAUGGCACAAUGGGCGCAAGCCUGAUGCAGCCAUGCCGCGUGUAUGAAGAAGGCGCUAGGGGUGUAAAGUACGUUCAGUCGGGAGGCGUUACCGACAGAAGAAGCACCGGCUAACUCCGUGCCAGCAGCCGCGGUAAUUC
rnacentral:rRNA from 1 species